AUACGGAGGGUGCAAGCGUUGUUCGGAAUCACUGGGCGUAAAGGGCGCGCAGGCGGUUUGGUAAGUCAGAUGUGAAAGCCCACAGCUCAACCGUGGAAGUGCAUUUGAAACUGUCAGACUUGAGUACUAGAGGGGAAAGUGGAAUUCCCGGUGUAGAGGUGAAAUUCGUAGAUAUCGGGAGGAAUACCAGUGGCGAAGGCGACUUUCUGGCUAGAUACUGACGCUGAGGCGCGAAAGCGUGGGGAGCAAACAGGAUUAGAAACCCUAGUAGUCC
rnacentral:rRNA from 1 species